GACGAACCGUGCGAACGUUGUUCGGAAUCACUGGGCUUAAAGGGCGCGUAGGCGGGCCAUAAAGUCAGGGGUGAAAUCCUCCAGCUUAACUGGAGAACUGCCUUUGAUACUGAUGGUCUCGAGUAAGGUAGGGGCAUGCGGAACUGAUGGUGGAGCGGUGAAAUGUGUUGAUAUCAUCAGGAACUCCGGUGGCGAAGGCGGCAUGCUGGACCUUCACUGACGCUGAGGCGCGAAAGCCAGGGGAGCAAACGGG
rnacentral:rRNA from 1 species